CGGGACACGUGGUAUCCUGUCUGAAUAUGGGGGGACCAUCCUCCAAGGCUAAAUACUCCUGACUGACCGAUAGUGAACCAGUACCGUGAGGGAAAGGCGAAAAGAACCCCGGCGAGGGGAGUGAAAAAGAACCUGAAACCGUGUACGUACAAGCAGUGGGAGCACGCUUAGGCGUGUGACUGCGUACCUUUUGUAUAAUGGGUCAGCGACUUAUAUUCUGUAGCAAGGUUAACCGAAUAGGGGAGCCGAAGGGAAACCGAGUCUUAACUGGGCGUUAAGUUGCAGGGUAUAGACCCGAAACCCGGUGAUCUAGCCAUGGGCAGGUUGAAGGUUGGGUAACACUAACUGGAGGACCGAACCGACUAAUGUUGAAAAAUUAGCGGAUGACUUGUGGCUGGGGGUGAAAGGCCAAUCAAACCGGGAGAUAGCUGGUUCUCCCCGAAAGCUAUUUAGGUAGCGCCUCGUGAAUUCAUCUCCGGGGGUAGAGCACUGUUUCGGCAAGGGGGUCAUCCCGACUUACCAACCCGAUGCAAACUGCGAAUACCGGAGAAUGUUAUCACGGGAGACACACGGCGGGUGCUAACGUCCGUCGUGAAGAGGGAAACAACCCAGACCGCCAGCUAAGGUCCCAAAGUCAUGGUUAAGUGGGAAACGAUGUGGGAAGGCCCAGACAGCCAGGAUGUUGGCUUAGAAGCAGCCAUCAUUUAAAGAAAGCGUAAUAGCUCACUGGUCGAGUCGGCCUGCGCGGAAGAUGUAA
rnacentral:rRNA from 1 species